rnacentral:rRNA from 1 species
UACGUAGGGUGCGAGCGUUAAUCGGAAUUACUGGGCGUAAAGGGUGCGCAGGCGGUUGAGUAAGACAGAUGUGAAAUCCCCGAGCUUAACUCGGGAAUGGCAUAUGUGACUGCUCGACUAGAGUGUGUCAGAGGGAGGUGGAAUUCCACGUGUAGCAGUGAAAUGCGUAGAUAUGUGGAAGAACACCGAUGGCGAAGGCAGCCUCCUGGGACAUAGCUGACGCUCAGGCACGAAAGCGUGGGGAGCAAACAGG